rnacentral:rRNA from 1 species
GACGAACGCUGGCGGCGUGCUUAACACAUGCAAGUCGAGCGGUAAGGCCCUUUCGGGGGUACACGAGCGGCGAACGGGUGAGUAACACGUGGGUGACCUGCCCUCAGCUCUGGGAUAAGCCUGGGAAACCGGGUCUAAUACUGGAUAUGACUCCAUGACGCAUGUUGUGGGGUGGAAAGCCUUGUGCGGCUGAGGAUGGGCCCGCGGCCUAUCAGCUUGUUGGUGGGGUGANGGCCUACCAAGGCGACGACGGGUAGCCGGCCUGAGAGGGCGACCGGCCACACUGGGACUGAGACACGGCCCAGACUCCUACGGGAGGCAGCAGUGGGGAAUCUUGCGCAAUGGGCGAAAGCCUGGCGCAGCGACGCCGCGUGAGGGAUGACGGCCU